rnacentral:rRNA from 1 species
AGAGCGAACGCUGGCGGCAGGCCUAACACAUGCAAGUCGAACGGAACCUUCGGGUUCAGUGGCGGACGGGUGAGUAACACGUGGGAACGUGCCUUUUGGUUCGGAAUAACUCAGGGAAACUUGUGCUAAUACCGAAUGUGCCCUUCGGGGGAAAGAUUUAUCGCCAAAAAGAGCGGCCCGCGUCUGAUUAGCUAGUUGGUGGGGUAAAGGCCCACCAAGGCUACGAUCAGUAGCUGGUCUGAGAGGAUGAUCAGCCACAUUGGGACUGAGACACGGCCCAAACUCCUACGGGAGGCAGCAGUGGGGAAUCUUGCGCAAUGGGCGAAAGCCUGACGCAGCCAUGCCGCGUGGAUGAUGAAGGUCUUAGGAUUGUAAAAUCCUUUCACCGGGGACGAUAAUGACGGUACCCGGAGAACGAAGCCCCGGCUAACUUCGCGCCAGCAGCGC